rnacentral:rRNA from 1 species
GACGAACGCUGGCGGCGUGCCUAAUACAUGCAAGUCGAACGCUGAAGAGAGGAGCUUGCUCUUCUUUGGUGAGUUGCGAACGGGUGAGUAACGCGUAGGUAACCUGCCUUGUAGCGGGGGAUAACUAUUGGAAACGAUAGCUAAUACCGCAUAACAAUGGAUGACCCAUGUCAUUUAUUUGAAAUGGGCAAAUGCUCCACUACAAGAUGGACCUGCGGUGUAUUAGCUAGUAGGUGAGGUAACGGCUCACCUAGGCGAGGAUACAUAGCCGACCUGAGAGGGUGAGCAGCCACACUGGGAGUGAGACACGGCACAGAGGCCUACGGGAGGCAGCAGGAGGGAAUCGUCGGCAAUGGGGGCAACACUGACCGAGCAACGCCGCGUGAGGGAAGAAGGUUUUCGGAUCGUAAAGCUCUGUUGUAAGGCAAGAAAGAGUGUGAGAGUGGAAAGUUCACACUGUGACGGUAGCUGACCAGAAAGGGACGGCUAACUACGUG